rnacentral:lncRNA from 1 species
UUCUGAGAAGGGCAAGUGGUCCAAAAUGGGAGGUGGGACUUCAUCCAUUUCAUCAAUAAACAUUUGCUAAAUGUUUAUACUAAGGCUAGGUAUUGAGACAGACACAAACACAGGAUAACUAAAAUAUGUCUUUGUUGCUGGACAUGGUGGCAUGUACCUGUAGUCCCAGAUACUUGGGAGCUGAGGCAGGAGGACAGCUUGAGCCCAGAACUUCUGGGCUGUAGUGAGCUAUGCUCACUGGGUGUCCACACUAAACUGGCAUCAAUAUCAUGACCUCCCAGGAGUGAGGCCCACUAGGUUGCCUAAGGAGAGGUGAACUGGCCCAGGUCAGAAAUGAAGUAGGUCAAAAUUUCUGUGCUAAUUAAUAGUGGGAUCUCACCUAUGAAUAGCCACUUCACUCCAGCCUGGGAAACUUAGCAAGACCCUAUCUCUAAAAGCUAGCUAAACAAAUAAUAUGCCUUUGUCCUUGGAGAGCUCACUGCCUAAAGGAGAGAGACUGAAAAUUAAAUAAAUAAUUACAGUUCAACAUUAUAACACAGAUAUGUGCAAAUGAUUGAAGGAACUCUGAUACUUACGGGAGCAUGAAGGAAGACUGACCCACAUCAGAGCAAAUAAGAAACGACAUUUGUGCCAAAGCUUAAAGAGUGAGUUAGAUUUUAUUUAGGGUUUAGGUUCUAAAUGCUGAUGUUGGCCGGGUGCGGUGGUCUUAGAAAAUGCAACAUUUGAGCGGGAAAGC